rnacentral:rRNA from 1 species
ACGGCAGCACGGGAGCUUGCUCCUGGUGGCGAGUGGCGAACGGGUGAGUAAUAUAUCGGAACGUAUCCAAUAAUGGGGGAUAACUAAUCGAAAGGUUGGCUAAUACCGCAUACGCCCUGAGGGGGAAAGCUGGGGAUCUUCGGACCUAGCGUUAAUGGAGCGGCCGAUAUCUGAUUAGCUAGUUGGUGGGGUAAAGGCCCACCAAGGCGACGAUCAGUAGCUGGUCUGAGAGGACGACCAGCCACACUGGAACUGAGACACGGUCCAGACUCCUACGGGAGGCAGCAGUGGGGAAUUUUGGACAAUGGGCGCAAGCCUGAUCCAGCCAUUCCGCGUGAGUGAAGAAGGCCUUCGGGUUGUAAAGCUCUUUCGCAAGGGAAGAAACGAUUUAGGUGAAUAAUCUAAGUUAAUGACGGUACCUUGAUAAGAAGCACCGGCUAACUACGUGCCAGCAGCCGCGGUAAUACGUAGGGUGCGAGCGUUAAUCGGAAUUACUGGGCGUAAAGCGUGCGCAGGCUGUUUUGUAAGUCAGAUGUGAAAUCCCCGAGCUCAACUUGGGAACUGCGUUUGAAACUACAAGACUAGAAUAUGUCAGAGGGGGGUAGAAUUCCACGUGUAGCAGUGAAAUGCGUAGAGAUGUGGAGGAAUAUCAAUGGCGAAGGCAGCCCCCUGGGAUAAUAUUGACGCUCAUGCACGAAAGCGUGGGGAGCAAACAGGAUUAGAUACCCUGGUAGUCCACGCCCUAAACGAUGUCAACUAGUUGUUGGUAGAGUAAAAUCUAUGAGUAACGCAGCUAACGCGUGAAGUUGACCGCCUGGG